GGUCCGAUGGCGUAGUUGGUUAUCGCAUCUGUCUAACACUUCAUCGGUAGUUCGAAUCUCGUCGAGGUCCGAACCACCGAUGACCUUCCACAGAAGGUCCUGAGUUCGAGCCUCAGCCGGAUCA